AGGAAAAGAAAUCAACCGAGAUUCCCCCAGUAGCGGCGAGCGAACGGGGAGCAGCCCAGAGUCUGAAUCAGCUUGUGUGUUAGUGGAACGGUCUGGAAAGUCCGACGGUACAGGGUGAUAGUCCCGUACACCAAAAUGCACAGGUUGUGAACUCGAAGAGUAGGGCGGGACACGUGGUAUCCUGUCUGAAUAUGGGGGGACCAUCCUCCAAGGCUAAAUACUCCUGACUGACCGAUAGUGAACCAGUACCGUGAGGGAAAGGCGAAAAGAACCCCGGCGAGGGGAGUGA
rnacentral:rRNA from 2 species